rnacentral:rRNA from 1 species
GACGAACGCUGGCGGCGUGCUUAACACAUGCAAGUCGAGCGGUAAGGCCCUUCGGGUACGACGAGCGGCGAACGGGUGAGUAACACGUGGGUGACCUGCCUCUAGCUCUGGGAUAAGCCUGGGAAACUGGGUCUAAUACCGGAUAUGACUCCAUGACGCAUGUUGUGGGGUGGAAAGCCUUGUGCGGCUAGGGAUGGGCCCGCGGCCUAAUCAGCUUGUUGGUGGGGUGAUGGCCACCAAGGCGACGACGGGUAGCCGGCCUGAGAGGGCGACCGGCCACACUGGGACUGAGACACGGCCCAGACUCCUACGGGAGGCAGCAGUGGGGAAUCUUGCGCAAUGGGCGAAAGCCUGACGCAGCGACGCCGCGUGAGGGAUGACGGCCU